CGUGACGUCAGCGCGCCCGCGCCGGCUGGCCGGACGCCCUAGUCUUCCGCGAGAUCUUCGGUGGGGGUACGGGUGCUUUACGCCACCGCGCUGCUGCGUUUGGGUUCUCUUCUACAUACUCUGUGGACCUGGUCACGAUUCCACAAUGUACCACAACAGUAGCCAGAAGCGGCACUGGACUUUCUCCAGUGAGGAGCAGCUGACAAGACUGCGGGCCGACGCCAACCGCAAAUUCAGAUGCAAAGCAGUGGCCAACGGGAAGGUUCUUCCAAAUGAUCCAGUCUUUCUUGAGCCUCAUGAAGAAAUGACACUUUGCAAAUACUAUGAGAAAAGGUUAUUGGAAUUCUGUUCGGUGUUUAAGCCAGCAAUGCCAAGGUCUGUUGUGGGUACGGCUUGUAUGUAUUUCAAACGUUUUUAUCUUAAUAACUCAGUAAUGGAAUAUCACCCCAGGAUAAUAAUGCUCACUUGUGCAUUUUUGGCCUGCAAAGUAGAUGAAUUCAAUGUAUCUAGUCCUCAGUUUGUUGGAAACCUUCGGGAGAGUCCUCUUGGACAGGAGAAGGCACUUGAACAGAUACUGGAAUAUGAACUACUUCUUAUACAGCAACUUAAUUUCCACCUUAUUGUCCACAAUCCUUAUAGACCAUUUGAGGGCUUCCUCAUUGACUUAAAGACCCGCUAUCCCAUAUUGGAGAAUCCAGAGAUUUUGAGGAAAACAGCUGAUGACUUUCUUAAUAGAAUUGCAUUGACGGAUGCUUACCUUUUAUACACACCUUCCCAAAUUGCCCUGACUGCCAUUUUAUCUAGUGCCUCCAGGGCUGGAAUUACUAUGGAAAGUUAUUUAUCAGAGAGUCUGAUGCUGAGAGAGAACAGAACUUGCCUGUCACAGUUACUAGAUAUAAUGAAAAGCAUGAGAAACUUAGUAAAAAAGUAUGAACCACCCAGAUCUGAAGAAGUUGCUGUUCUGAAACAGAAGUUGGAGCGAUGCCAUUCUGCUGAGCUUGCACUUAACGUAAUCACGAAGAAGAGGAAAGGCUAUGAAGAUGAUGAUUACGUCUCAAAGAAAUCCAAACAUGAGGAGAUCGCCAAACUUUGGCAUCAGAGCAAGGUCCACACUUAUCACUGAAAAUUUUCCCACCCAGCCCCAUUAAAAAAGUUAAAGUGUGAGAGAUUUUAUUUCAACACUGACAAGCUAGUUACUACAGGGCCUACAAAGUUGAGGUUAUCUCAUAAUUCUCCUCUUGCAAAAAAACCUUCAAGGACAAACCAAGAUGUAAUGAAGUGCUACGUGGGUUAUAUAAUGAGUGACUAACAAAACCUUCCAUUUAUCUUAUGCACGCUUUCUGUAAGUAGUAUAUAGAUUAUUAGUACAGUAGAGGAAAUGACAAAGUAUUUUCAUGAAUUUCUGGUGCAACUUGAUGGUUUUUAAUCCCAAAAUAAAGUACAUCUUUUUUAAAAAGUCCAUUUUGCAGAACAUUUUUAUAAAUGUAUUACAGACAGGUGUAACUGCUAUGAGGAAUAAUUUUAGAAAUUUAAUAUAUUUUCCUUAAAAUGUAAUUGGCUACAAAUUAUUACCUAUUAAAAUAUGUUCUUUGCAAAAAUACUUCUUAAAACAUUAAAUUCUUACCUCACAAGACUGCUUGCUUUCCAUUAUCUUUAAAAUACAGUCUUUCAAAGCAUGAUGAACAAACUGUGUAGCAGUGGCUUUCAUAUACUGCUCCAUCAAGGUGCUUGCAAGUGUUGUGGCUCGAAAUAGGGUAGUGGCUUCAUCUACACAAAUAUUUACAUUAGAAGAUUAUUUGUAAAGGACUGACCUAAUGUGACCAAAUUGGAAAUUAAGUGAAUUCAUUUUACCUCAACAGGAAUAGCCACUUAAAUGUACUUUUUGCAUGCAGCGCUGAAGUACUAAUUACAAUGACAUCCUAUACUUCUACAGACUUAACUCUGUUAAGACUUUCAUAUGUAUUAUCUCAUUAGAGCAUAAACAGGAGAAGGGAUUAACACUGCCAUGUUCAUAUGGAAAAAUGAAGACUCAGAAUUGUUAUAUGACUUAAGAUCAAUUAGACAGCUAAUGACAAAAUUAGGACCAUAAAUCAGCUUUGCUGCCCAUUCACCCCAUGCUUUGAAAUUUUGGGGUUUAUUUACAAUUAAGGAUAUAACACAAAAUCCCAGUAUAGAUUAAUUUAUUAGCUUAAAACGUGCCUACUGAGUUUCAGUAAAAUUUUAAUGAAAUACAAAUGCUGUCAGAAAAGAUAAACUCAGUGUAAAAUAAGGACCACCAUUUUAUCUAUUCCUUGACAAAUCUAUAUUUUGUGAUGAGGAGGAAAUAGUUCUAAACUUUACAAUUUAUUUGGGGAACCCAGAAGCAAGAACUGUUACUGAAUCAAAGUGCUUGGUGGUCUGUGUGGGGGGCGGGGGGAGGGUGGAUUAUUUUGUAAGCCAUUAAAAGCACUGUGUCCAGCAGCUUGGGAACUACCUAUCUAUAAAAGUUAGAAAUAAAAUGCAGCUGACACCCAGCUUCUGUGUAAUGAAGAAGUAAAAAUUAAACAAGACCUGUAACCCCGGCACUUUGGGAGGCUUGAGGUAGGCGAUCACCUGAAGUCAGGAGUUCAAGACCAGCCUGGCCAACAUGGUGAAACCCCGUCUCUACUAAAACAUAAAAAUAAAAAAUUAGCCGGGUGUGGUGGCACAUGCCUGUAGUCCCAGCUACUCAGGAGGCUGAGGCAGGAGAAUCGCUUGAACCCGAGAGGUGGAGGUUGCAGUGAGCCGAGAUUGCGUCACUGCACUGCAGCCUGGGCGACUGAGACGCCAUCUCAAAAAAAAAAUAAAAAAUGAACAAGAGAAUACAGUUAAAUAUGCCAGUCAAGCCAUUGAUGUAGACACAGGUACCACUUUCUUGUGGCUUGUAGUACUUAUCUGCCAAAACCUACAUUAGAAAUACCAGCUCCCCAUAGUAACCAACAUAAUCAGAACUGACAUCCAACUGCAAUUUUUAAGGAGGGAAAACAGAAUAACUUAUUUUGCAAUAUAAUUUAACAAUUUAGUAUAUUCAGAGAUAGAGUCCCUAUAUCCUUGAUAUAAAAUCUAAACCCAGUUUCUUAAAGUAUCACACUAACAUAGCCAUACUAUACCUUCCAUGCUUAUUUCUCUGUCAUUUAGUGUGCAUAACAACAACGAUUCAAGCUUUUCGUGAAGAAAAAUCCUCAGUAGGAUGCUGGCCAGUAGUGUUCGGUCUUGUCCACAUACAUGUGAUAAAGCAUAGACUACAUGAAGUUCUUUUUGCAGUAUAAGCUAAAAUGACAUUUUAAAAGACUGUUUAAAGUACACAGCAUUAUAAGCAUGCUCCAUGAGACUAACAAGAAAUAUGUUCUUUCACAAAUUCUUAUAUUUAAAAUGAUGUACCAUUGAAUAAAUUUAUUUAAAAUAGAAUGAAUUUGUAGUCUAUCUAUUUCUACCAAAAUUACACUAUAAAACAAGGUUUUAAAUCUUCUCUGGCGUCAGUGUGCUACUAAGCUAUGAAUUACUAUGUUUAGCUUCAUGGAUCUUUUAUUAAAUGUUAAAUGUUUCUGUUAAUUCCAACAAGAACAAGACUGAUAAAUAAUUUAAUACCUCUUUAAAUUCACUGUACUCUUCUUCUGGCAUGAUUUUUUCCAUAGAGUAUCGUGCUCGAACACGCAGGGACCCUGGUUCAAUACCUUUUAAUGGUAUAUGGGAGCUGAGCAGAAACCAUUCAUCUGUGGCAUGCCCUUUCUGUAAUCGGCUCAACUGGCAGCGCAUAAAUACUUGGGAAGAAAAACAAGCAAUUAUUGUCUAAAAAGAUAACACAAUAAUUAGUCAUGCAAGUAAAUUUUCCUGGUGUUCAGUCUUCCCUAUGGUGUUAAAUGCUUUUCAUUAAAGGAGUUUUCAGUAACAUCACAAAUUCAA